AGUGAACGCUGACGGUAGGCCUAACACAUGCAAGUCGAACGGCAGCACAGUAAGAGCUUGCUCUUACGGGUGGCGAGUGGCGGACGGGUGAGGAAUACAUCGGAAUCUACUUUUUCGUGGGGGAUAACGUAGGGAAACUUACGCUAAUACCGCAUACGACCUACGGGUGAAAGCAGGGGAUCUUCGGACCUUGCGCGAUUGAAUGAGCCGAUGUCGGAUUAGCUAGUUGGCGGGGUAAAGGCCCACCAAGGCGACGAUCCGUAGCUGGUCUGAGAGGAUGAUCAGCCACACUGGAACUGAGACGCGGUCCAGACUCCUACGGGAGGCAGCAGUGGGGAAUAUUGGACAAUGGGCGCAAGCCUGAUCCAGCCAUACCGCGUGGGUGAAGAAGGCCUUCGGGUUGUAAAGCCCUUUUGUUGGGAAAGAAAAGCAGCAGGUUAAUACCCCGCUGUUCUGACGGUACCCAAAGAAUAAGCACCGGCUAACUUCGUG
rnacentral:rRNA from 1 species